rnacentral:rRNA from 1 species
UACGUAAGGGGCAAGCGUUGUCCGGAUUUAUUGGGCGUAAAGCGCUCGCAGGUGGUUCGAUACGUCGUGCGUGAAAGACCCCGGCUCAACUGGGGAGUGUCGUGCGAUACGGUCGGACUGGAGGCCAGUAGGGGGAUGCGGAAUUCCGGGUGUAGUGGUGGAAUGCGUAGAGAUCCGGAGGAACACCAGCGGCGAAGGCGGCAUCCUGGACUGGUCCUGACACUCAUGAGCGAAAGCGUGGGGAGCGAUCCGG